rnacentral:lncRNA from 1 species
AAUCUGGACCCUUCCUUGGUUACAAACUGGUCACCAAGGAAGGCCUAGGCCAAACUACCACAACUAUUCAGGAUCGAAGUUGAGGGAAAUAACUAGAAAAUUAUAGAUAUCCUUUAAGACAAAGGCUUUUAGUGCUUCUAUUUGUCCUCUAAAGAACAUUAGAUGAAGAACAAAGACUGAAUAGCCAUUCAGCAGAGGCUCCAUAUCAAUAAAAGUUCAAUUGACCUAAAAAAUUCAGAAGCCUUCUAAGGUAUUUUGUACAUUAAGGCUUGUGACCAUUUUGGACAGGGGAGUGCAGAAUGCAGCUGGUGCAUCCCUGACACCACAGGAUGAUGGUGAUGGCAGUGGAACAAAGUCAGUGUGCCUGGAAACUUCACCGCCACUAAAACUCAAGUGA